UACGGAGGAUGCGAGCGUUAUCCGGAUUUAUUGGGUUUAAAGGGUGCGCAGGCGGGAUGCCAAGUCAGCGGUAAAAAUGCGGUGCUCAACGCCGUCGAGCCGUUGAAACUGGCGUCCUUGAGUGGGCGAGAAGUAUGCGGAAUGCGUGGUGUAGCGGUGAAAUGCAUAGAUAUCACGCAGAACUCCGAUUGCGAAGGCAGCAUACCGGCGCCCUACUGACGCUGAGGCACGAAAGCGUGGGUAUCGAACAGG
rnacentral:rRNA from 1 species